rnacentral:misc_RNA from 1 species
GAUGAAGAACGCAGCGAAAUGCGAUACGUAAUGUGAAUUGCAGAAUUCAGUGAAUCAUCGAAUCUUUGAACGCAUAUUGCGCUCUCUGGUAUUCCGGAGAGCAUGCUUGUUUGAGUAUCAGUAAACACCUCAACUCCCUUUUCUUUUUUGAAAUGGGAGCUGGACUUGAGUGAUCCCAACACUUUUCUCACUGGCAAGUGGCGGGUCACUUGAAAUGCAGGUGCAGCUGGACUUUUCUCUGAGCUAUAAGCAUAUCUAUUUAGUCUGCCUAAAAAACAGAUUAUUACCUUUGCUGCAGCUAACAUAAAGGAGAUGAGUUCUUGUGCUGACUGAUGCAGGAUUCACAGAGACAGCUUUGCGGCUGACUUUGUAAACUCGAUCUCAAAUCAAGUAAGACUACCCGCUGAACUUAAGCAUAUCAAUAAGCGGAGGA